rfam:Oryza barthii chromosome 12, whole genome shotgun sequence.
AAAAAGGCAAACCCUGGAUUUCUGUGCAAACGUUUGACCGUCCGUCUUAUAUAAAAUUUUUUUAUAUUAAGUAUUUUCAUUGUUGUUAGAUGAUAAAACAUGAUUAAUACUUUAUACGUGACUUAUCUUUUUAAUUUUUUUAUAAUUUUUUUAAAUAAGACAGACGGUCAAACAUUAGACACGGAAACCAAGGUUUGUCUUUUUU